rnacentral:rRNA from 1 species
AGUGAACGCUGGCGGUAGGCCUAACACAUGCAAGUCGAACGGCAGCACAGUAAGAGCUUGCUCUUACGGGUGGCGAGUGGCGGACGGGUGAGGAAUACAUCGGAAUCUACUUUUUCGUGGGGGAUAACGUAGGGAAACUUACGCUAAUACCGCAUACGACCUACGGGUGAAAGCAGGGGAUCUUCGGACCUUGCGCGAUUGAAUGAGCCGAUGUCGGAUUAGCUAGUUGGCGGGGUAAAGGCCCACCAAGGCGACGAUCCGUAGCUGGUCUGAGAGGAUGAUCAGCCACACUGGAACUGAGACACGGUCCAGACUCCUACGGGAGGCAGCAGUGGGGAAUAUUGGACAAUGGGCGUAAGCCUGAUCCAGCCAUACCGCGUGGGUGAAGAAGGCCUUCGGGUUGUAAAGCCCUUUUGUUGGGAAAGAAAAGCAGUAGGUUAAUACCCCGCUGUUCUGACGGUACCCAAAGAAUAAGCACCGGCUAACUUCGUG